ACUUCCGGUCGCCGCCGCCCCGCCCCCUCCCGCCGCCCGCGCGUGGAGCCCGGGCCACAGCCGCGGCGCUACAGCCACGAAAGUGACUGGCACUGACUCUGUGGUGCAGCUUCGUCUGUCGGCCCCUGCACAGCCAUCCCGGGGCUGCACUCAUCCGCUCCUCGCUCUCUGCUGGGUGAACCAACCACAUCUAACUGGCCUGCAGUGACCCGCUGAAGUGCAGUGUUGGUGAAGACCUGGAGAGGUGAAGAAGCAGAAGAUGUGCUGGGCAGUGAGGCCCAAGGCCUGUGCUGCAUGGAGGGGUGCAAAGGCCUCUCCAUGCCACCCCCACCCUCAGGGCUGCCAUCUGCAUACAAACGGAGGGGCAAGCAAAAUCAUCAGGCGCAUCAAUCCCCCAGCCAGGGGAAGUUCAGACGAAGGAGAUGAUGGAUAGGGUUAGUUCCUGCUGGACCCCAGCUUGGUCCCUCCAACUUGCAGGCAAGUUUCAUUAAGCGUCCUCAAUUAAAAAAUAAAGAAUCUUCAUGGAAUAUAAAGGACAUGAGUAACAUCACCAGCUGUGAAAUGACUCUUAAGAACACAUCCACCGCAGUGUAACUGAAGCUCCUCCCUAUGAAAGUUGUCCACCAGACUCAAAAAUCCAGAAGAAAAAAUAAAAGGAAAAGAGCAACUAACCCACAGUUAAACAAAAACAAGUCUGGGAAACUGGUACUUGGGGAGGUGAAGGGGAGGAGGUGAUCAAACGAAGAGGAGAGAGGAUAAUGCACUCUUAAUAUUUAAUGCAUAUUCAAGAAAACCGAGAAGAGGGGGUGACUUGCAAGGAAAAGGGGA